rnacentral:rRNA from 1 species
CUGCCCCUGUCAGGGGGACAACCCGCCGAAAGGCGGGCUAAACCCGCGUACAUGCCACCGGGGCAUCCCGGAGGCAGGAAAGGCUUCGGCCGGACAGGGAUGGGCAUGCGGCGCAUUAGGCAGUAGGCGGGGUAACGGCCCACCUAACCGACGAUGCGUAGGGGUUCUGAGAGGAGGGUCCCCCACACUGGUACUGAGACACGGACCAGACUCCUACGGGAGGCAGCAGUGAGGAAUAUUGGUCAAUGGUCGGGAGACUGAACCAGCCAAGCCGCGUGAGGGAUGAAGGUACAGAGUAUCGUAAACCUCUUUUGUCAGGGAACAAAGGCGGGGACGUGUCCCCGGAUGAGUGUACCUGAAGAAAAAGCAUCGGCUAACUCCGUGCCAGCAGCCGCGGUAAUACGGAGGAUGCGAGCGUUAUCCGGAUUUAUUGGGUUUAAAGGGUGCGCAGGCGGUCUGUUAAGUCAGCGGUCAAAGCCCGGGGCUCAACCCCGGCCCGCCGUUGAAACUGGCAGUCUCGAGUUGGAGAGAAGUAUGCGGAAUGCGCGGUGUAGCGGUGAAAUGCAUAGAUAUCGCGCAGAACUCCGAUUGCGAAGGCAGCAUGCCGGCUCCACACUGACGCUGAGGCACGAAAGCGUGGGUAUCGAACAGGAUUAGAUACCCUGGUAGUCCACGCAGUAAAC